AUAGGGGAUUGCCAAUCCCACACAAGAGUUGUUUGUGGUCACAGGCCGGUGCCAAAUUCAAGAUCAUAGAACAGAUACAGAUGGACAUCAUAUUAUAUUUUUGUUGUUCUGUCAACAUUAUUGUGCAUCUGCAUUAUACUUGUACCCUAGGCCUAUACUAUAAGUUAUUCUCUGGUUUAUUACAAUGUCAUAUUGAAAAUGUUUUAAUACCUGGAAAAUUUGAAGCCUAAUAAAACUUUAAAUUAUU